rnacentral:tRNA from 1 species
UGCGGGGUGGAGCAGUCUGGUAGCUCGUCGGGCUCAUAACCCGGAGGUCGUAGGUUCAAAUCCUGCCCCCGCGCCCA